GGCACUAUAGCCAAGUGGUUAAGGCGACAGAUUAGAAUAUUAAUGCAAAAAUUAAAAUUGAUCUGUUACUCUCUGAGUGCGCAGGUUCAAAUCCUGCUGGUGUCG
rnacentral:tRNA from 1 species